GGUCACAUAGAGUUGGUAGAUGCAGGUGCUGCACACAGAGCUCCUACAAAAUGUAUAAAAGCUUUACUUAGAGAGGUCAGUAAUUGUUUCUGAAUGGGCUCUCAGAGGAAACUGUCUCAUUUGGUUUGUUCCUCUUCAUGGUCAUUCUUUAAUGGAAGAAAAUUCAAAGAAUAACAAGCAUCCUGAAGAAUAUUACUUAGAAGCUUAUGACAUUACUGAUUAUUAUAUGGAUCUGUUUAUUGUAUUUGCUACCAUCACUUCAGCCGGACAUCAUUAGGAGCAGAGCUGAGUAUGUGCCACAUCACAGUGAGGAGUCACCAGCUCCAGGAAGAUGGAAGACAUUUCUUGGAAAGAAUGGACAGCUUGUGGGAUGAAAAACAUGCUUGAAUACCUUCACCUAACAUGGAAGUCAAGUUAAAAGGCAAGCAGAAAUCUUCCAAGAGAGUCAAAGCGGAACGGUCUGUGGACAGAAAAUGUCAUGUGGCCAGGAUUUUCAGACACAAAGAACACCAAGACAAUCUCUCCUAGCACAGCACUGGUCUGGGCUUCCAAAGCACUGUGCCCAAAAGGGAUCACUCCUGAAAUCUGUUUGGGGUUAUACAGGUGAUGAAGAAUCCAUCCAUCACUACUUUCCUCCAGCAAUCGGCGGCCUCAGCUUGCAGUGGGCUGGUCUGUCUCCAGUAGCACAGAUUCUUCAUCCCUGCCCUCCAACAUGCACAUACAUCUGGAGAUCUACAUGCAUGAGACCUCCAUAUCUUAUCAGGGAAGGUCUGAAUGACACGUGCUGGAGAAAGAGAUUGGAUCAUACUGAAAAAGUAAAUCCAAGUAUUGAAGAGCAGCUCUAAGACUGGUUAAAGACUGGUUACAGGCAAUGACAGAAGAGAAGAAGCACUGAUUUCAUGAUAAUGUGACAUUAUUGCCACCUAAUUAUUUGUGUAAUAUCGUUGGCACUCAUAGAUGAAACCUGUUAUAGGAUAUUGGCAUACUUCCUAUUACAGUCUGGAUGGUGAUGCUGACAGUGCUGAAGGAUAUGUAGCUUCUCAAAAUGUUCUGCAGUACAGUUAUUUCUCAUAGCCAUGACUCAUUCAACACCAUUAUUAAUUAUCUAUCUGUUAUAGAGAAGAACAUAACCAUGUGAACAGUAACAUUAUGAAUACUGGUAAGCAAGAUAAGUUUUGUAAAAAAAGUAAAAGAAGGAACAACAAGCAAGAAUUUUUGCCCUUUUCCCCUAGUGGCCAUCAGCUCUGUGGUUUAAUUUCUCCCAGCUUUAUGGACAAUUGAACUCUACGCUUCUUUACCUGAGCACUAUGGACAUUAAAAAUAUAUAUAUAGAGAGAGAUCAGAGAUCCAGGUGCAAAGGCAUUGGGACUUUCAACUGUGAAACUGCUGAAACUAUUCCAUGGGGCAAAGUGAAAAGUUAACUUGACUUUUUUGAAGAUUGAGUACCUAGGCUCUGUCAAGAGCAUCCACGGGCUAUCACCAUUUUGUUUACUGUGUGACAUCAA